rnacentral:rRNA from 1 species
GACGAACGCUGGCGGCGUGCUUAACACAUGCAAGUCGAACGGAAAGGCCCUGCUUUUGUGGGGUGCUCGAGUGGCGAACGGGUGAGUAACACGUGAGUAACCUGCCCUUGACUUUGGGAUAACUUCAGGAAACUGGGGCUAAUACCGGAUAGGAGCUCCUGCUGCAUGGUGGGGGUUGGAAAGUUUCGGCGGUUGGGGAUGGACUCGCGGCUUAUCAGCUUGUUGGUGGGGUAGUGGCUUACCAAGGCUUUGACGGGUAGCCGGCCUGAGAGGGUGACCGGCCACAUUGGGACUGAGAUACGGCCCAGACUCCUACGGGGGGCAGCAGUGGGGAAUAUUGCACAGUGGGCGGAAGCCUGAUGCAGCGACGCCGCGUGCGGGAUGACGGCCUUCGGGUUGUAAACCGCUUUCGCCUGUGACGAAGCGUGAGUGACGGUAAUGGGUAAAGAAGCACCGGCUAACUACGUG